GUUUGAUCCUGGCUCAGGACGAACGCUGGCGGCGUGCCUAAUACAUGCAAGUCGAGCGGACCAAAGGGAGCUUGCUCCUGGAGGUUAGCGGCGAACGGGUGAGUAACACGUGGGCAACCUGCCUGUAAGACUGGGAUAACAUCGAGAAAUCGGUGCUAAUACCGGAUAAUAAAAAGAACUGCAUGGUUCUUUUUUGAAAGAUGGUUUCGGCUAUCACUUACAGAUGGGCCCGCGGCGCAUUAGCUAGUUGGUGAGGUAACGGCUCACCAAGGCGACGAUGCGUAGCCGACCUGAGAGGGUGAUCGGCCACACUGGGACUGAGACACGGCCCAGACUCCUACGGGAGGCAGCAGUAGGGAAUCUUCCGCAAUGGACGAAAGUCUGACGGAGCAACGCCGCGUGAGUGAUGAAGGUUUUCGGAUCGUAAAACUCUGUUGUUAGGGAAGAACAAGUGCCGUUCGAAAGGGCGGCACCUUGACGGUACCUAACGAGAAAGCCACGGCUAACUACGUG
rnacentral:rRNA from 1 species